AAAAUUCAAACUAUGCAGCUUUGUCACUUUAGGAAGAGAAAAAUGGAGAAGUAGAAGAGGCAGAGAAAGGAGCAAGAGGAGCAAUAGAAGGAAGAGAAUAAUCCAGAGAAGGACAUGGUCUCUCUGGACGUCAUACUGCUGGUCUGUUAAAGGAAGAUGCAGCACCAAAGCACUCGGAACCCAUGCCAAACUGCGCUUCAAACAUCAGUUCAAAGAAAUACGUGCAGCCCUAUGCUUACUGCAGCACUGUUCACAACCGCCAAGCUAUGGAAGCAGCCCAGGUGUCCAUUAAGAGAUGACUGGAUCAGAGAGAACCAUGGAGGAGCUGGGAUAAGCUCUGAGCCGGAAGUCGCUCCCACAGGUCCACACACGAGAUCCCUAUGUUGACCUAUUUCAUGUUCCUCA